CUGACUGCUCUGAACUUCAGUGCCAGGUGAGUCUCUGGGGACCCAGACUCAUACAGGGAGAAACUGGACUGUCUGGCAGCAGGCAGA
rfam:Myotis davidii contig8192, whole genome shotgun sequence.